UACGUAGGGUGCGAGCGUUAAUCGGAAUUACUGGGCGUAAAGUGUGCGCAGGCGGCAGAGCAAGUCGAGUGUGAAAGCCCCCGGGCUUAACUUGGGAAUUGCGCUCGAAACUACUUUGCUGGAGUGUGGCAGAGGAAGGUGGAAUUCCACGUGUAGCGGUGAAAUGCGUAGAGAUGUGGAGGAACACCAAUGGCGAAGGCAGCCUUCUGGGCCAACACUGACGCUCAUGCACGAAAGCGUGGGGAGCAAACAGGA
rnacentral:rRNA from 1 species